UUCAAAGAAUUUCUCCACAAGAAGGUUUUAUACAAUGCAUUCAAAUUCCCUUUCUUUCUGCUUUUUUAUAAAGCAAACAGAAGGACUUCUUACAGUCUCUCACAGAAAGACAUUUUCUCCACCUCUAAAUAUGUUUAUGGCUUGUUUUCUGAACAAUUUGAUUAUGUCAUUUUUAAAAAAUAGCUAGCUAGAAAAUGCUAGCCUUAACUGAUCCUGCAGUCUUACAAGUAUGCUUUCUUUUUUUUUGCCAUUGCAGAAGACUGUUACGCAAACCACUGAAAAUGAAUGUCAAAUUGCUCAUCCAGCACUUCCCAGCUGCAUCUCAGCUUUCCAGGAUAUAGUCCAUCAUUCUAUAUUUCAUCUCUGUGACCAGAGCCAGUCUGGGAAGCAGAAGAGACAACAUGAAAGCACUGGAAUUGGAACACCAUUAUCUGGAACUCUUUGGACCAAAAAGUCCCAAUCCUGUGCUGAACUGAUCCUUUACUGAGGAAAAGUCAGGAACCAGCAUAGUCCUUUCCCUAAGCAGCAGGGCACUGUGUUCAGAAGAGAGCUUGCAAGAGUGAUCUUUUAUUGCCGACAUCCACACGCUGUAGGUGCAGCUCUCUGCUGCCUGUCCUUGAGCAGUGUAGCUGCUCUCCAGCUGGUUAGCAUUUAUGCAGCAAUCAGCAGGAAGAACUAAGUGGAGCUGCAGUGUUCCUGUGUAGCUCAGCAGAAAAAUGUUGUGUGCUCUGCAUUGCUUUGGACUGCUCUGAUAAAUUCUAAUCGACAGGCUUCAGCAGCACAGCCAUUGCACGAGUGCUCACCAUUGCAUGGGCUGGGGAAGGAAUGAGCAGCAUGGAGUGAUAACAAUGAACAGGCAAAAAGUAUCCUGUGGAGGUGCAAAAGUGAGAUUUUAGGAUUUUACACUUUCAUGGAUUUCCACAAAGUAUUUAAUUUUUUUUUUUUUAAUAACUAGGAAUGAUCAUAUUGUGGUAUUUUAUUUUGGUUCGUUGGUUUGUUUAUUGGGAGGGGGGAAAAGCAUAAAUGGUAUGGAAGCAGGUCUAUUAACUAUUGAAUAUAACAUUACCGAAUUCAUAACGGACAAGAUAACUUUUUUUCCCUUGAAGUAAUUUAGGGCAACUACACUUCAUCCAGUGCAAUGGCAGAUGGAAGUGGGAGGGAGUUCAUGCUCUCUGACCCUGCUCUGAGAGAUGGCUGCGUGAACCUUACCUGCCCGCCCUUCAACAGAAAGGAACAAAUUUGUAACAGCAUGAGGGAUCCACCCAAGAAGAAUCCUUUGAGUCACUAGCAGCACUGCAUUGCCUUGUUACUUCAACUUGCUCAUUAUGAGACCUUUUGCCCAGUUCUUCCAGAAUGCAAAAAGCAUUUCUGUCUGGCCUGCUUGUAACUGCUUAAAAUAAAUUCUUCAAUGAGCAUCA